rfam:Schistosoma mansoni, Puerto Rico, WGS project CABG01000000 data, contig: 0262
GCACUGCUGAGGAGUCCCAAAAUAGGACGAAACGACUGUCCCAUGC